AUGAACGAGGCGCUUACGGCCGUUGUCACUGAUGAGGAGAUUGAGAACGCUUUGUUCCAAAUGGGGCCUACAAAGGCGCCAGGGCCGGAUGGUUUACCGGCGCUCUUCUACCAGAGGCACUGGCCUAUGGUGAAGAACGAAGUCUGUAAGGUGGUGCAAGAUUUCCUGAGUGGAGAAAAGAUUCCGGAAGGCUUCAAUGACACUAUUUUGGUUCUUAUUCCAAAGACCAAAUCUCCGGAGUUUCUUUCCCAGUUUAGACCAAUCAGCCUAUGCAAUGUUUUAUACAAGAUAGCGGCAAAGGUCCUCGCAAACAGGCUCAAGAAGGUGUUACCUGUUAUCAUUUCUGAGGAGCAGAGUGCAUUUGUACCUGGACGGAUGAUUACAGACAAUGUGCUAGUGGCGUAUGAGUGUGUACACGCUAUCAGGAAACGAAAAAGAAAAAAGCCUUUGUGUGCCGUUAAACUUGACAUGAUAAAGGCCUAUGACCGGGUGGAGUGGGUUUUUCUGGAAAAAGUUAUGGAGCAGCUAGGCUUUUCUCAUACAUGGACGGCCAUGGUCAUGAGAUGUGUCACCUCCGCAAGAUUCUCUGUGAAGCUAAAUGGUGACUUAUCAGAAGGCUUUCUCCCUACGAGGGGGCUUAGACAGGGGGACCCGUUGUCCCCGUAUCUCUUUCUCUUCUGUGUAGAAGGCUUCUCAGCGUUACUCAAGCAAGCGCAACAGGAGAAGGAGAUUUGGGGGGUCUCUUUUGGCAGGUCGGGACCGAGUAUUACACAUCUUCUCUUUGCCUAUGAUAGCAUUGUGUUUCUAGAAGCCUCACACUCGAAUAUGACGAGGCUUAGAUCCAUCCUUCAGGCAUAUGAAGAGGCGUCCGGUCAGAAGGUAAACAUGCAAAAAUCGUCUAUCUUUUUUGGCAAAGGGUGUAGGGAGGAAAGCAAAGCUGAGCUGAAAAACGCAUUGGGGGUGGAAUCAGAGGCCCUAAGUGAACAAUAUUUGGGUCUACCCACGAUGGUGGGAAGAUCUAAGGAUGGUUCUUUUAAACAUGUGAAAGAAUCAUCAAAAGGAAAGGUUAGUGGGUGGAAAGGACAAGGUUUAUCAAAGGCUGCGAGGGAAGUAUUGGUGAAGUCGGGGCUGCAAGCAACACCGACAUACCCAAUGAGCUGCUUCCAGCUCUCCAAGAAGAUGUGCCGGAACCUGAAAUCUAUCUCUUCGAAAUUCUGGUGAGGAGCAGCCGAUGGGGAACGCAAAGUCCACUGGGUGGCGUGGGAUAAAAUGUGUACGAGGAAAACGGAAGGUGGAAUGGGGUUCAGAAAUUUUGAGAUUUUCAACCAAGCUCUUCUAGCAAAGCAAGUGUGGAGGAUCAUUAUGGUGCCAAAUUCUUAUGUGCACGGGUGUUAA
rnacentral:rRNA from 1 species